CGCCAGACAUGCGUCAUUCGUCAAGCACCGAGCAGCGACUCGCCGAAUCGCGAGCAGUGUGGAUGUCUGUUUGUCUAUUCGGCAAGCAGCAAACAUUAGUGCUCGUUGUUUCCCGUUCAGUGUCGGUCUUUUGCACACAUCAAAGUGGACGAAUAUUUGGGAAAAGGCAAACUUUGCUUCAUCCACACAUUCGGCUUUGUGGUUGGGAGAUAAGAACUGUUCACGGUUUCCAAUUUUGUCAUCAGAGCCUCAUUGACUAUUGGGUAUGGAGUGGCCUAAUGAGUUGGUGUUGGAUUUCUUACAAUACUAUGAGAAUGAACCAGUUAUUUGGAACCCUUCUCA